ACUCAAAUGAAUAGACGGGGGCCCGCACAAGCAGCGGAGCAUGUUGUUUAAUUCGACGCAACGCGAAGAACCUUACCAGGUCUUGACAUCCAACGAACGGGGAGGAAACUUCCUGGUGCCCGCAAGGGAGCGUUGAGACAGGUGGUGCAUGGUUGUCGUCAGCUCGUGUCGUGAGAUGUUGGGUUAAGUCCCGCAACGAGCGCAACCCUUGUAUUCAGUUACUAACGUGUAAAGACGAGGACUCUGAAUAGACUGCCGGGGAUAACUCGGAGGAAGGUGGGGACGACGUCAAAUCAUCAUGCCCCUUAUGAUCUGGGCUACAAACGUGCUACAAUGGCCAGUACAAAGAGAAGCGAGCCGGCGACGGCAAGCGGAUCUCAAAAAAGUGGUCUCAGUUCGGAUCGUGGGCUGCAACCCGCCCACGUGAAGUUGGAGUUGCUAGUAAUCGCGAAUCAGCAUGUCGCGGUGAAUACGUUCCCGGGCCUUGUACACACCGCCCGU
rnacentral:rRNA from 1 species